rnacentral:ncRNA from 1 species
UUGGCAGGGGUGCGUUUCGGCGCUGAGAAAUACCCUUAUCACCUGAUCCGGUUCGUACCGGCGUAGGGAGCUC